UCCCGACGCUCCAAGUCGCAUCCACAUUUAUUGGGUCUAAAACAUUCGUAGCUUGUUUAUUAAGUUCCUUGUGAAAUCUUGAAUCUUAAGUUCAAGGCGUGCAAGGAAUACUGAUAGGCUUGAGACUGGAAGAAGCAAGAAGUAUGAUCGAGGUAGUGGUAAGAUAUGUUAAUCUCGAUCAGACUAACAACAGCGAAGGCAUCUUGCUAGUACAGAUCUGACAGUGAGGAAUGGUGGCUAGGGUCGCGAACAG
rnacentral:rRNA from 1 species